UACGUAGGGGGCUAGCGUUGUCCGGAAUCAUUGGGCGUAAAGCGCGUGUAGGCGGUUCGGUAAGUCCGCUGUGAAAGUCGGGGGCUCAACCCUCGGAUGCCGGUGGAGUACUGUCGGGCUUGAGUACGGAAGAGGCGAGUGGAAUUCCUGGUGUAGCGGUGAAAUGCGCAGAUAUCAGGAGGAACACCAAUUGCGAAAGGCAG
rnacentral:rRNA from 1 species